AAUCAACGCUGGCGGCGCGCUUAACACAUGCAAGUCGCACGAGAAAGGGAGCAAUCCUGAGUAAAGUGGCGCACGGGUGAGUAACACGUGGGUAUCUACCUUUUUGUGGGGAAUAACUUGGGGAAACCCGAGCUAAUACCGCAUAAGCUCGAGAGAGGAAAGCCGAAAGGCGCAGAAAGAGGAGCCCGCGGCUGAUUAGCUAGUUGGUGAGGUAAUGGCUCACCAAGGCUUAGAUCGGUAGCCGGCCUGAGAGGGCACACGGCCACACUGGCACUGAAACACGGGCCAGACUCCUACGGGAGGCAGCAGUGGGGAAUCUUGCACAAUGGAGGAAACUCUGAUGCAGCGACGCCGCGUGAACGAUGAAGCCCUUCGGGGUGUAAAGUUCUUUCGCCAGGAACGAUAAUGACGGUACCUGGAGAAGAAGCUGCGGCUAACUACGUGCCAGCAGCCGCGGUAAUACGUAGGCAGCAAGCGUUGUUCGGAAUUAUUGGGCGUAAAGAGUAUGUAGGUGGUGUCGUAAGUUUGGUGUGAAAUCUCCUGGCUUAACUGGGAGGGUGCGCCGAAGACUGCGAUGCUUGAGUAUGGGAGAGG
rnacentral:rRNA from 1 species